rnacentral:rRNA from 1 species
AUCGAACGCUGGCGGCAGGCCUAACACAUGCAAGUCGAACGAGUGGCGGACGGGUGAGUAAGGUCUUGGCAACUGCCCGAUGGCGGGGGAUAACUACUGGAAACGGUAGCUACUACCGCAUACCCUCGGAUGUGCCCAGAUGGGAUUAGCUAGUCGGUGGGCUAACGGCUCACCUAGGCGACGAUCCCUAGCUGGUCUGAGAGGAUGACCAGCCAGACUGAAAAUGGGUCAGGUCCCAGAGUCCUAGGGGAGGCCGCAGUGGGGAAUAUUGAACAAUGGCCGCAAGCAUGAUGCAGCCAUGCCGCGCGUAGGAAGGAGGCCUUCGGGUUGUAAAGGACUGUCAGCCAGGAGGCUUUACUGGCAGAAGAAGCCCCGGCUAACUCCGUGCCAGCAGCCGCGGUAAUAC